rnacentral:rRNA from 1 species
GACAGAGGCCCCGAGCGUUAGGCGGAAUCACUGGGCUUAAAGCGUGUGUAGGCGGAUCGUUAAGUGUCUUGUGAAAUCCCACGGCUCACCCGUGGAACCGCUGGGCAUACUGGCGAUCUUGGGCCAUUCAGGGGCAGCUGGAACAAGCGGUGGAGCGGUGAAAUGCGUAGAUAUCGCUUGGAACGCCAAAGGUGAAAACAGGCUGCUGGGAAUGUGCCGACGCUGAGACACGAAAGCCAGGGGAGCGAACGGG